ensembl:misc_RNA Metazoa_SRP Metazoan signal recognition particle RNA
GCCAAGGGCAGUGGUGUGCACCUGUGGUGCCAGCUACUUAGGAGGCUGAGGCAGGAGGAUCACUUGAGCUCAGGAGCUAUGAGCUGUAGUGCAUUGUGCCAGUUGGGCAUCUGCACUAAAUUUAGCAUCAAUAUGGUGACCUCCCGGGAGUCAGAGACCACCAGGUUGCCUGAGGGAGGUGUGAACCUACCCAGGUCAGAACUGGAGCAGAUCAAGACUCUCAUGCUGAUCAGUAGGGGAAUCUCACCUGUGAAUAGCCAUUGCAUUCCAGCCUGACAAACACAGACCCCAUCUCA